rnacentral:tRNA from 1 species
GCUGGGGUUGUGGCUCAGUGGUAGAGCACUUGCCUAACAAGUGUGAAGCACUGGGUUCAAUCCUCAGCACAGCA